GAUGAAGAACGUAGCGAAAUGCGAUAAGUAGUGUGAAUUGCAGAAUUCCGUGAAUCAUCGAAUCUUUGAACGCACAUUGCGCCCCCUGGAAUUCCGGGGGGCAUGCCUGUUCGAGCGUCUCAGGGACGAACCCUCGCGCGGGUGUACGCGCGGUCGUGGCUGCGGUGGCGUGCCCGAGGCGGCGGCCACCGCGCUGGAAUCCAUGGGCGGACGCCUGCCGCGUGGCCGAGCGUGAUAUGACGCAUUGGCGCUCGCACGCGGAGAGGCUGCCAGCCCUGGCCCGUCUGUCGGGCGGGGGAGAGCAAGACACGUGAACUCCUCGAAUCAGGUAGGGAUACCCGCUGAACUUAAGCAUAUCAAUAAGCGGAGGA
rnacentral:misc_RNA from 1 species